rnacentral:rRNA from 1 species
GACGGAGGGUGCAAGCGUUGUUCGGAAUUACUGGCGUAAAGGGCGCGUAGGCGGUCUGUUAAGUUCGGUGUGAAAGCCCCCGGCUCACCUGGGGAACUGCGCCGGAAACCGACAGACUCGAGUACCGGAGAGGAGGGUGGAAUUCCUGGUGUAGCGGUGAAAUGCGUAGAUAUCAGGAGGAACACCGGUGGCGAAGGCGGCCCUCUGGACGGAUACUGACGC